GACGAACGCUGGCGGCGUGCUUAACACAUGCAAGUCGAGCGGUAAGGCCCUUUCGGGGGUACGACGAGCGGCGAACGGGUGAGUAACACGUGGGUGGACCUCGCCCUUACGUCUCUGGGAGUAAGCCUGGGAAACGUAGGGUCGUAAUACCGGAUAUGACUCCAUGACGCAUGUUGUGGGGUGGAAAGCCUUGUGCGGCUGAGGAUGGGCCCGCGGCCUAUCAGCUUGUUGGUGGGGUGAUGGCCUACCAAGGCGACGACGGGUAGCCGCCUGAGAGGGCGAUCGGCCACACUGGGAC
rnacentral:rRNA from 1 species